AGAGUUUGAUCCUGGCUCAGGAUAAACGCUGGCGGCGUGCUUCAGGCAUGCAAGUCGAACGGACCUUCGGGUCAGUGGCGGACGGGUGAGUAACACGUAAGCAACCUGCCCAGAAGUGGGGAAUAACCCACCGAAAGGUGAGCUAAUACCGCAUGUGAUGGACCUUCCCUGGAGGGUUCAUUAAAGGCUUAGGUCGCUUCUGGAGGGGCUUGCGCUCGAUUAGCUAGUUGGUGGGGUAAUGGCCUACCAAGGCGACGAUCAGUAGCUGGUUUGAGAGGAUGAUCAGCCACACUGGGACUGAGACACGGCCCAGACUCCUACGGGAGGCAGCAGUAGGGAAUUUUCCACAAUGGGCGAAAGCCUGAUGGAGCAACGCCGCGUGCAGGAUGAAUGCCUUCGGGUUGUAAACUGCUUUUAUAUGUGACGAUUUUGACGGUAGCAUAUGAAUAAGGAUCGGCUAACUCCGUGCCAGCAGCCGCGGUCAUACGGAGGAUCCAAGCGUUAUCCGGAAUUACUGGGCGNUAAAGAGUUGCGUAGGUGGCUUGCUAAGCAGGGUAUGAAAGCGUGUGGCUCAACCAUACAGCUAUAUCCUGAACUGGCAUGGCUAGAGAGCGAGAGAGGUAGAUGGAAUUGCUAGUGUAGGAGUGAAAUCCGUAGAUAUUAGUAGGAACACCGAUGGCGUAGGCAGUCUACUGGCUCGUCUCUGACACUAAGGCACGAAAGCGUGGGGAGCAAACGGGAUUAGAUACCCCCGUAGUCC
rnacentral:rRNA from 1 species